UAGUCAUAUGCUUGUCUCAAAGAUUAAGCCAUGCAUGUCUAAGUACAUACUGUUUAUAAAGUGAAACCGCGAAUGGCUCAUUAAAUCAGUUACGGUUCCUCGGAUAUUCUUUUUUACAUGGAUAACUGUGGUAAUUCUAGAGCUCAUACAUGAACAAGUGUUCCAACCUCAGCUUGCUGACGGAAGGAUCGCAUUUAUUAGUACAAGACCAAUGAUUCUUAUUCACCUAGAACCCUGGGCAGUGAUUUCGGUCGCUGUCUAAGGACUAGCAGUGGGGAUCUUAGCAACUUCGGUUGCAUUUCUUGUGAUGACUCUGAAUAACUGAGCAAAUCGUAUGGCCUCUGAGCCGACGAUGUAUCCCUCAAGCAACUGCCUUAUCAACUGUCGAUGGUAGGUUAUGCGCCUACCAUGGUUGUAACGGGUAACGGGGAAUUAAGGUUCGAUUCCGAUUUCAAAAAUUAUUUUAUUUUGUAAAUUAAAGAUUGCUUGAGAGUCCCUAGGGAUUCACUUGUAUCACUCUGUGGUAUGACAAAUGAACUAGGGACGUGGUCUCAGUUACAAGAGUUGGGAAGUGUGGUGGACUUCCCAUAGAAAUAACCCUUUCGAUCCGGUUGGUAUCGAAGGGUGUACAA
rnacentral:rRNA from 1 species